rnacentral:rRNA from 1 species
AUUGAACGCUGGCGGCAUGCUUUACACAUGCAAGUCGAACGGGGUGAGGAGCUUGCUCCUCAUCUAGUGGCGAACGGGUGAGUAAUACAUCGGAACGUACCGUGUAGUGGGGGGAUAACGUAGCGAAAGUUACGCUAAUACCGCAUACGAUCCGCGGAUGAAAGCAGGGGACCUUCGGGGCCUUGUGCUAUACGAGCGGCCGAUGUCUGAUUAGCUAGUUGGUGGGGUAAAGGCCCACCAAGGCAACGAUCAGUAGCGGGUCUGAGAGGAUGAUCCGCCACACUGGGACUGAGACACGGCCCAGACUCCUACGGGAGGCAGCAGUGGGGAAUUUUGGGACAAUGGGCGCAAGCCUGAUCCAGCCAUGCCGCGUGUCUGAAGAAGGCC